rnacentral:rRNA from 1 species
UACGGGGGGAGCAAGCGUUGUUCGGAUUUACUGGGCGUAAAGGGCGCGUAGGCGGGUGCCCAAGUCCGGGGUGAAAUCCUCCAGCUCAACUGGAGAACUGCCUCGGAUACUGGGUGCCUCGAGGGUGGUAGGGGUAUGGCGGAACUAUCGGUGGAGCGGUGAAAUGCGUUGAUAUCGGUAGGAACGCCAGAGGCGAAAGCGGGCUGCUGGAUCUCUUCUGACGCUGAGACACGAAAGCUAGGGGAGCGAACGGG